AAACCUGAGAAACCCGAAAGUUCGAAUGAAAAGAUUCAAUAUUCUUCAAUUGGUUGUACAUUUACUUAUGUGAUUAUGUGAUAGUUUUAUGUUAAUUUCUUUAUCCUUUACUGGAUUUUGAAUGUACAUAUAUUCUACACCACUUUGUUUAUGAACUAAAUACAACUAUGAAGGUAUGCACUUCUUUUCUAGUAGGACGUUGCGACCCAUUGAAUGUUAAUCUACGGCUACUCGUUAGAGCCUAUUCCUAUUUUACUUAAUUGUAUUUAUGGGAAAUAGAUUUCUGAGUGUGUCCCGAAUAACUGUUCGAUGGUAUUUAUAAAACCAUAAUAUUGGAUCGCCACUUUGUCUGGGCAUUUGGUAUUCAUUCAAGUAUGUAAGGUAAUUUGAAUGUCAGGGGCUCUUGUACUGGCUUUGAAUCCUAACUACUGUUCGAGUGAAAUUUACUAUCAAAUAGUAUCCUUUUAUUGGUCAGCAACGCUGUUGCUUUGGGUACUUUCAGGAC
rnacentral:rRNA from 1 species